GGGACAGCUAGAGAAACAAGAGGACCAGUCCCCAACCCAGCAUCUUGGGUGUGUGUGGGGGGGCUGCACUAGGAAGAGGUGUUCUAACAUUGGGCUUUGCAGACCCAUGGGGCUUAACUUCAGAGUUUCUACAAGCAGCAGGGCAUAAUUUCAGGUACUUAAAAAAUCUGCAGGCUUAAAACUGGGUGGUGUAAGCCCCCACAACCUCCCACGUUUCAGACCUAUGGUUCUUAGCUCCCCCUUACCAGAGUCACAUAGCCCUUAGCUACUGUUAAAACUGGAAAAUUGCCUCAGGAAAUAAAGUUGCCUUCGGAAGAGUCUGUGGGAUGCCAUUCUACCGGAGAUCCACAUAAUGUGCCAUGUCUGUGAGGGGGGAAAAACAAUUUGCAGCUUAGCAGUAGUCACAGAACUAGAACUUCCAUCUGUGCUCUAGAGAUGACAUCACUAAUGUAACCUGCUGAGAACGUUUUGCAGUGCCAGGGCCCUGAGACCAAACAAUCACCUCUCUACAGUCACACCAAAGCCCAGAUGUUACCAGAAGGGACAAGAUGAUCAAGAAAAGAAGUAUUACAGACCUAGGGCAAAAUGCUGAAAUGCAGACCCAAUUGCUUCAGAGGCAAAGCUGAGGCAUUCACCCUUGACUGGUGUCCAUGAUCUGUGGUGCUUCUGGUUUGCUGUGGAAGAAACAAGGCACUAGGCUGCUUUUGUCCAGGAAGACCUCUUCUGGUUGGAGGGGACCUCACUCCUGCAGUCGGCUGAGAAUGUCGUAUGGUACCAGGACCCUGGAGCCGAAUGACCACCUGACUCCAACCACACCAAAGCCAGAUGGGACUGAAAUUGCCAGAAGGGACAAGAUGAUCAAGAAAAGAAUCAGCCUGACUCCAGCCCUUGAGACCCCUAUUUUGAAUUUUCACCCUUUAAAAGCCUCCUGUUUGUAAGCCAGGGGGUGGAGUUUGGGACUUUGAGCUUUAACUUCCCAUCCUCCUGGGUGGUGCCGCACCAAUAAAAAGCCUAUCUUCACUGUAAACACUUAGUGUCCAUUUUUCUUUCCUUGUUGUACAUCAGGUGGACAGCCUCAUUUGGUUUACAGGCUUAGCUCUGGGAGAACCAGAGGGCAAGAGGAAACCGAGUCUUCCCCUUUAAAGAGCCAGAAUAAUCCAGCAGAGACAGAGCAAUGCAGCAGUUUAAAGAGCAUCUGGUGUAUAGGGGAAGGAGCUUUGCUAAUCUAACACUGGUGGGGCUGGGAGACCUCCUUAAGGCUAAAAGAGCUGGUGGGGACCAUUUUUCCCACCCACCCCCACUGCCAGGCUAGAUAAGCUGACACCUGUGGG
rnacentral:lncRNA from 1 species